rnacentral:lncRNA from 1 species
CCCCCCCCCCCCCCCCUCCCUUUUCCUUUCUUUCUUUUUUUUUUUUUUUACAGACUUAGGAUGGCUUGUCUUGUUAGUUACUUUUCUUCCUGCCAGCCCCCAUCCUCAAGUUCUCCAAUGCAACUUCAGAGGAUCAUCUUUGAUACCUCUGCAUCUGAAUAAUAUGGUUUCUGUCCCAUGCUGUAGCUGACGGUAGGAUGGACUCUGAGUGCAACUGAGAGGUUGCUUCCUCCAUAGUUUCCUAUUGCAUCUCAUACUGGUUAGGGUAAGCAAUUACAGAGGAAAUUUGACUUCUCCAUGGAGUAGUGUGUGCCUGACAGCUAGCUGGAGACAGCACACACGGAAUUGAGUCAGUGCUCCGAGUGCGGUCUUGAGUUGCAGUAAAGGUAAAACAACUGCAGACUGAUAGUUUAGCUUCUAAGGAGCAUAUACAGAUAGCAUGUUUGCCUCUAAUACUUAAAAGGCGAGGUUCUGAGAUCAUAUUUCAUGGACUGCUUCCUAUAGAUUUCAAGAAAUCCAAUCGUUCUGAAGUAUAGCCGUGCGCUAUUAUUAUUUAAAGGGAACAAACUGUUUUGAAACCCAUUACGUGGGAAGGAACCGAGGGCGGAAGUGACGUCAAGGCGUGCCUUCACUGAGGACCAAAACGGCUCCAUGAUUGGCUGGACCGUGAGGGCAGAUGUAGCGUCACGGCUAGCCUUCACUGAGGGCGGAAACACUCCGUGACUGGCUCGGAGGAACCCAGGGCGGAAGUGCCUUGCAGGGCUUGCCGGCACUAUGGGCGGAAGCUGUCGGGCCGGGCCGGGCUCGGCUCGGGCCAGGCCGCCGAGGCGCGGUGCUGCAACGAGGGCAGAAGCAGCUCCCCGCCGCAAGGACCCCUGUGGGGUUUGUUGCCGAGCGAAGGUGGCGCAUUGGCUAAACGGAGGAAAGCUGCAGCUGGCGUGCUGCAGUCGCAGGUUUCCCAGGAGAAAGAGCAGCCCGUCUGUCCAGGCCCCCGGACACAACCGAGGACCCACCCCGGUGACGCCCAGCGUGCUCCCGUGUGCCCUGAGCACCCACCACGGAGAACCCCGGCCUGCCCCCGAGCAGCCCAUAGGAACCACCCCGGUGACCCCCGGUCCUCGGGCGCCUCAUAGAACCCACCCCGUGACCACUGGCUGCAUCCUGGCACCCCAUAGGACCCAGCCCAGUGACCCCUGGCGGGCCCCCGUGCGCCCCAUAGGACCCAACCCGAUGACCCCCGGCGAGCAUCCUGGUACCCCAUAG